rnacentral:rRNA from 1 species
CAGUCGCCGCGGUAAUACGUAGGUCCCGAGCGUUGUCCGGAUUUAUUUGGCGUAAAGCGAGCGCAGGCGGUUAGAUAAGUCUGAAGUUAAAGGCUGUGGCUUAACCAUAGUACGCUUUGGAAACUGUUUAACUUGAGUGCAAGAGGGGAGAGUGGAAUUCCAUGUGUAGCGGUGAAAUGCGUAGAUAUAUGGAGGAACACCGGUGGCGAAAGCGGCUCUCUGGCUUGUAACUGACGCUGAGGCUCGAAAGCGUGGGGAGCAAACAGGAUUAGAUACCCGCGUAGUCCCUGUCUCUUAUACA